GGGUUGUGAGGUUAAGCGACUAAGCGUACACGGUGGAUGCCCUGGCAGUCAGAGGCGAUGAAGGGCGUGCUAAUCUGCGAUAAGCGCCGGUAAGGUGAUAUGAACCGUUAUAACCGGCGAUACCCGAAUGGGGAAACCCAGUGUGACUCGUCACACUAUCAUUAACUGAAUCCAUAGGUUAAUGAGGCGAACCGGGGGAACUGAAACAUCUAAGUACCCCGAGGAAAAGAAAUCAACCGAGAUUCCCCCAGUAGCGGCGAGCGAACGGGGAGGAGCCCAGAGCCUGAAUCAGCAUGUGUGUUAGUGGAAGCGUCUGGAAAGGCGCGCGAUACAGGGUGACAGCCCCGUACACAAAAGCGCAUGUGCUGUGAGCUCGAUGAGUAGGGCGGGACACGUGGUAUCCUGUCUGAAUAUGGGGGGACCAUCCUCCAAGGCUAAAUACUCCUGACUGACCGAUAGUGAACCAGUACCGUGAGGGAAAGGCGAAAAGAACCCCGGCGAGGGGAGUGAAAAAGAACCUGAAACCGUGUACGUACAAGCAGUGGGAGCCCCACCACUAAGCCAGUGGUGAACUCCACAUACGCAUCCUUU
rnacentral:rRNA from 1 species